GUCUACAGCCACACCACCCUGAACGAGCCCGAUGUCUGAUCUCGGAAGCUAAGCUGGGUCGGGCCUGGUUAGUACUUGGAUGGGAGACCACCCAGGAAGACCAGGUGCUGUAGGCA
rfam:Pteropus alecto contig1773, whole genome shotgun sequence.